rnacentral:rRNA from 1 species
GAUGAACGCUGGCGGCGUGCCUAAUACAUGCAAGUCGAGCGAACAGACGAGGAGCUUGCUCCUCUGACGUUAGCGGCGGACGGGUGAGUAACACGUGGAUAACCUACCUAUAGACUGGGGUAACUUCGGGAAACCGGAACUAAUACCGGAUAAUAUAUUUCACCGCCAGGUUCAAUUAUUAAAAGCGGUUUUUCUUUCAAUUAUAGCUGGAUCCGCGCCGCAUUAGCUAGUUGGUAAGGUAACGGCUUACCAAGGCAACGAUGCGUAGCCGACCUGAGAGGGUGAUCGGCCACACUGGAACUGAGACACGGUCCAGACUCCUACGGGAGGCAGCAGUAGGGAAUCUUCCGCAAUGGGCGAAAGCUUGACGGAGCAACGCCGCGUGAGUGAUGAAGGUCUUCGGAUCGUAAAACUCUGUUAUUAGGGAAGAACAAAUGUGUAAGUAACUAUGCACGUCUUGACGGUACCUAAUCAGAAAGCCACGGCUAACUACGUG